GAUAAAUAAAUAAAAAAGUGGGUCACCACAAAAGAAAACAAAAAUAACAAAACAAAAAAACCACCAAGGACAACAAGAUGUGUCAAUCUGUUACUGAUCAAUCGAGGCAGGCACCUUCAUGGACAGAUCCCUUCACUCAGCACCUUCAACCUAUCCUUUCUUUUAUUGCCAACUAAAAUAUCAUGAAAGCUGAGGACUCCGGGAGGCAGUUCUGUACCUCACUUUAAAGUGAGCAUGCUCAGGGAAUGUGAUCCUAACAUGCUCAUGAAUGAAAGUUCACACCCCUCUCUAUGAAGAUGUAUGCACCCUUACAUAACAUUCCUAUGCUUCCUCUGUUGGGGAGUGAGUCUUAGCUUUGCUUUGGAAAUGACUCCUGUACCAGCUUUGCCUGAUUCAGGCACUAAGUAUCUCUCCACUGGUGUCCUAUUUCCUUGUUUAUUUUGGCUCUGAGUUAGACUUGCUGGAUCAGGUUACUCAUUGGUGUUACCCCAGGGAAGCUUUGAAUUGCUGGUUACAUUAAAGAACCCCUUUCAGGAAAGACCUCUCUGCACUGCUGGAUAUAAAACAGAUCAAUAGUAUUCCACAGUGAAUACACACUCAUCAUCUACUAAUUGGUUGAAAGGUAUCUAUGCUGUUUCCAUUCCCUAGCUGUUGUGAAGAGAGCAGCAGUGAACAAGGCUGAGCAAGCGUCUGUGGACCAUGAUGUGGAGUCCUUUGGGCAUGGGCCAAGGAGCGGUACAGGUGCCUCACUACUCACUGACAUGGUGCAGUGCCUACUCUUCCCCUAUUCUCCAUUACUUUGCCAUAGCAUAAAGACUGGGGUCUUAAUGAAGCAAAAACCAUGAAGUGUAAGAACACACUGGGAAUUGGAACUUGCUGAUGGUUGUCAACAGCAUCAGGGAGACUCUGGACAUGGUAUAAGGGUUCUGGACAACAUCUAUGUGACAAGGUGCUGGAAAUGGCACCACCACGAUCAUCGACUUGCUUUGGAAUGUAGGUGGUCUUGGUGAGAACUUGGCUCACAUUUGGAUGGUAAACAACCCAUCAUGUGCCUUUUGAUUAUAUAAGAUGCUAUGGCACAAACAUUUUCACUUAAACUCUAAAAUCCUGCUUGAAGAAAUGUUGUUCACUAUAACUGGAUUGGAAAUGCAAGAGACAUGCCCAAACGGUUGGGGUUUGAAAGACAUUCUAUGUGGUCUGACUAAGCUGGACCCUUAGUGCAGGAAUCCCAUGGAGAAGCAACUAUGGAAGGUUAUCCAAAGGAGCAAGCAGAGAAAACCUCAGUGUUUCUGAUCUUUGGCCUUGACCUUUUCUUUCAGGACCAUCUCCCCCAUUUUUCUACGCAUCCUUAUUUUACGUUUAUGAAUAAAAGAAAGCCAUGUCAGCAUAGACUAACCAAAUGAUGUCGGACAUGCAUCCUUUAUUAGCACUGAUAUACCAUGUUCCUACUGUUGUUAAUGAAGAGCAAUAGUACAGUUAGAAGAAGGGAUGGAGACAGAAAGAAUGAGAUGAGGAAACUGAGCAGUCUGAGAGAGAACAGCAUGCCUUCCUUCAGUGCUGUUCUGUGUGGGCCUGGUGGGAGUCCAUGCAGUCUCUCAUGUUCUUUGUCAUUAUCCCCAUCACCCAGUCUUCUGUGCAUACUGUUAGGAGUGAAACCCUCAAGUAGAAAUCAGAAGAUCAGAAGGGUCAAUAUUUGUACAGAUCCUUCUUUCUGUAGUCUGGAAUACUGGUGGAUCCUCCACAUUUCAAUGUGCUUACUUUUAAGUAAGCCGAUUGGUAUCCCUUCUAAAGAGGUCUGCCAAUGAGAGCUCUGUGAAUUAGACAGGCAGACAUAUACAAUGAUCAUAAUUUCUUUUCUAGUUGCCCAAACUGUCCACUGCACCCAAGGUCUGUGCUGUGCGCUGUGGUCACAAAGCAGCGCAGAUUGGAUGGCUGACCGAAUCCUAUGGCACGAGCUUUUNGUCCCCAGAGAUUGGCUUUUGUGACUUUGGGGGAUAUGAUAGAAUUUUGGAUAAAGAUUAAAAAAAACCUCAGGUGACAAUAGAUGCUGGCCAGGAUGUGGAGAAAGAGAAACAUUCCUUAA
rnacentral:sRNA from 1 species